UAUAAAAUAAAUUCUCAUCGGCUACUAUUUCUCCACGAAUUACAGCAUAAGCUACAAUCAAUUUCAAUGUAUUAAAGUUUCUUUUGCAAAUGUUAGUCAAAAUUGUGAAAAAAAUUCACCUUACAGUUAUUAAAUGAACAAACAUAAUAAUGUCAAUGAGAGGUUAAAAUGAAAAUUAUAUCAUGGAUCGCCGAUUAGUCUACCGCCGUUAUUAAGGCCCGCCCCCAUUGGAACCAAUUAGGAUACCAGGAACCAUUGUGGUAGAAAGGGUCGAGCCAUUACAGCCCCAUUCCAGCUGUCAGAUUGAAUAAGGUAAAGCUUGUCUGAUUACUAGCAACAUUACGUUUGCCCCGUUUAUUUUGCCUGACAGUUUAAAACACAUGAUACACUCGUUUUUGAACAGGGUGUACAAAUAAUGGUGGUCCACUUACCACAAAACACAGUUAAGACGGAGAAAAGAAGAAUUAUAAAUUUGGUCAAUCCACUGUAUAAUUUCCUAAAAGAGAACCAACUACCUGGUUUUUGCACGAAAAAAUGGCCAACUUUGGAAAUGCAUAUUUC